rnacentral:miRNA from 1 species
UAUCACAGCCAUUAGUUACUUCA